UACGUAGGGUGCAAGCGUUGUCCGGAAUUAUUGGGCGUAAAGAGCUCGUAGGUGGCCUGUCGCGUCGGCUGUGAAAACUCGGGGCUCAACUCCGAGCUUGCAGUCGAUACGGGCAGGCUAGAGUUCGGCAGGGGAGACUGGAAUUCCUGGUGUAGCGGUGAAAUGCGCAGAUAUCGGGAGGAACACCGGUGGCGAAGGCGGUUCUCUGGGCCUUACCUGACGCUGAGGAGCGAAAGCGUGGGGAGCGAAACAGG
rnacentral:rRNA from 1 species